rnacentral:rRNA from 1 species
AACGAACGCUGGCGGCAUGCCUAACACAUGCAAGUCGAACGAGACCUUCGGGUCUAGUGGCGCACGGGUGCGUAACGCGUGGGAACCUGCCCUUAGGUUCGGAAUAACUCCCCGAAAGGGGUGCUAAUACCGGAUAAUGUCUUCGGACCAAAGAUUUAUCGCCUUUGGAUGGGCCCGCGUUGGAUUAGCUAGUUGGUAGGGUAAAAGCCUACCAAGGCGACGAUCCAUAGCUGGUCUGAGAGGAUGAUCAGCCACACUGGGACUGAGACACGGCCCAGACCCCUACGGGGGGCAGCAGUGGGGAAUUGUGGACAAGGGGCGAAAGCCUGACCCAGAAAUGCCGGGUGAGGUAUGAAGGCCUUAGGGUUGUAAAGCUCUUUUACCCGGGAUGAUAAUGACCGUACCGGGAGAAUAAGCUCCGGCUAACUCCGU